rnacentral:rRNA from 1 species
GUGGGGAAUAUUGCACAAUGGGGGAAACCCUGAUGCAGCGACGCCGCGUGAGUGAAGAAGUAUUUCGGUAUGUAAAGCUCUAUCAGCAGGGAAGAAAUUGACGGUACCUGACUAAGAAGCCCCGGCUAACUACGUGCCAGCAGCCGCGGUAAUACGUAGGGGGCAAGCGUUAUCCGGAUUUACUGGGUGUAAAGGGAGCGUAGACGGCAUGGCAAGUCAGAUGUGAAAACCCGGGGCUUAACCCCGGGAUUGCAUUUGAAACUGUCAGGCUGGAGUGCGGGAGAGGUAAGUGGAAUUCCUAGUGUAGCGGUGAAAUGCGUAGAUAUUAGGAGGAACACCAGUGGCGAAGGCGGCUUACUGGACCAUAACUGACGUUGAGGCUCGAAAGCGUGGGGAGCAAACAGGAUUAGAUACCCGAGUAGUCC